AAACGACAGGCAAGCUGUAGCACACUCAAGUGAUCAAGCUGCUAGUCAGGCACACAUGAAGUCCUCUGGAUUUGUCAGACAGAGUGGAGGACAUCCGCUGUCAUCCUCACCAGUUCCUGCAGCAUCUGGCUCUUUUCAGCACAGUAAAAGAUGACCCUCUCUUGCUGUUCCCACUGGGUGUCAUAAACUCCAUGACUCCUUCCAAGAAAUGUUAAGCUAUGCAUCUGCCUUGAUCUGCACAUACCAUGAUAUUUCAAGAUCCACCCUUUGGGAGAAGGGGGAGCAACCCUAACAGGAGUCCUGGCCACAGGAGUGCUGGGCAAGCUGGAAGCCUGGCACACGAGGGAGAAUGGGAAGAAUGAGACCACAGAAUGACAGUGUUCCUGGUUACCAGGGAAACAAUCCUAAAUUGGAGCUUUUUUUUUCAAUCAGAAUAUUUGUUUUCAUUUGAAAAAUUUUGA